GUGGCAGAACUAGGGAGGGGAGGACGUGCGCGCGAGCAACAGAGCAACAGUUUCCAGGCGCUGCUGCAGCCUGUAGCGCGUACUGUCUGCCAACUUUCAACCGUCUCACUUUCUGCUAAGUACUGUUGCUUGACCUCCGUGUGAUGAAGUGACCGUGGUGAUGAAAAAUGAAAGUACGAGCGUGAUUUGAUAAUAGGAGAACUAGUUUGUCGUAAGCUUGGAAACACAAGAACUGGUGUGGUGAAACAGAAAAGUUUAUGCCGCGGUUUGACAUUUCCCGCCCUGAACACUGAACACGCCGGGCAUUAGUAAGGGCGGCCAAAGGUGGGUGUGUGGUGUGUGGCAGCAGCAGUCAGUGACUAGUGCCGGCGGGUGGCGGCGGCGGCGGUGUUGGAGGUGGUGCCUUACAAGGCGUGCAGGAAAGCCAUGACGGCUUUGGUGGCAGCAUGCAGACGGGCGGCAACGGACGGUCUGCCAAGUCUACCUGGGCUGGGCGGACUAGCACCCUGGCUGCUGCUGGCGGCGUGGACACAAGCGGCCGUCGCAAGAGUCAACGUGAAAUGUUUAUGGUAGAAUCUCGAGGGAACACGGGCGGAAAUGGAGGGAGGUGAUAAAGGAUUCCCACCGUUGCCCCUUCGCCACUCCCAGCCGGCAUAACGAGAGCAUUGGUUCUCAAGGUGGGGUGCGCGACAGGAGUGGUGUGUGUCCGUGCCAGGUGUAUUGCAGGGCCUGGACCGCCCCAUGGAAGCACAGGUUGGUAUUGUUAUCAUUACGUACAGUACUGACAAAUUCAUGGCCAUAUUUAAUAACAGAUUUCAUAUUGUAAUAGAUAUAUGAACAGAUUUUUAUCAUCACACACCGAUGAACUCGUGGACACCUUUGUUAUUAUUUACUGAUGAAUUCCUGGAGGCAUAGUUUGUGUUUUGUUGCACUCUGGGUGAGGGGCACUUGACAAGCACUGAAACACCAGCUGAAGGGUUAUUUGUCUUAGAGGAUCAAACUUUGUCUGUAACCCUGAUAUUUCCCUGCAUGAGGCAACCCUGACGCGAGAGGGAAGUCAGUGUGUCAUUGUGGUGACAGGAACACCUUGGCAGGGAAGGAGCGGGUCAGUAGAGUGACGCAAGGCUCAGCAAGAGUGAACAGGAAGGCGCUAAGCUGGUGGGAUGGCACGCUGAAAGAAAUAUACCAGCGGGACUUUCAAGACUACAGUUGUUGGGAAAAGUAACCUUGAAACCCUUUAAGACUGUUUCACACAAGUGUCUAUGCUAUGCGAGCCACGCUAUGCCAAGGACGCACGCGAGCGAUGUUUGCUUGCUAUGUCAGUAUCAUCCCCACACGGGACCAUAUUCUGAAACACUUAAAUGCCGCACCUCCACUACUUUCAAAAGGCUCUAGUUGAAGUUGCACCGAUUUGUAAGGGUGCUUUUUAUAGUUGUAGUGACAGAUUACAAAGAUUUCUACAACGUUAACAGAAGAAAUAUUCUUAACAACUCGGCUAAUCAUCUCUGUGACCUUUGAAAAUAGUCGUGGUGAGAAAGCAGAGCGUUUUUUUAAUACGGCCCAAUGACACACGGUACUAUGGGGUCUCUUGAGAAGGAGGAGGAGGAGGAGGAGGAGAAGGAGGAGGAGGAGGAGGAGGAGGAAAAGAAGUAUAACUGUUUAGUGUAUCAAUGAAAUACAGUUAUCAGUGCCAUUCCAGAAGCUGUGCCUCCCUGUCCCUGCAACGGUCUGUGAAGCUCUGGCAGUAUCAUGCAGCCACGGGAAUUUCCGUCCUUCUCUUAUCGGUUGCUGCAUGGUGAGCCUUAGAAGCGUCAUCAUGUAAGGCAUUCCAGCUAGACACGUAAUAAGCUGGCAACUUGCUCACCAGCAGGACGGAGAGGGAACAAAAAAGAAGAAAAGAAGACAUCGAAAAGAAGAGAGAUGAUGAAGAAACGAAAAGAAAAGACAAAGAAGUACGCCUGCGUAAGCCAAGCACAUGAAAAAAUUCGGUGGACAGUCGCUCCAGCCAUGCACCUGACACUUACCCGCAUUUUGAACUGCUUAGCUCUCACCACAACUAUUUCCAAAGACCACAGAGGCGACUACCCUGGUCCUCCAGAGUGUCUCUCCUGUUAAUGAAGUAGAAGUCUUAGCAAUCUGUCACUAGAACACCCUUAAAAACCCGAAUAACUUCAACUUGAGCCUUUUUCUGGAGAAGCGCGAGGGAUGGUUGGGAGAGAGAUGGAGCACCUGUCAGAAAGGGCGUGCGCGUUACUUAGUUAUCCCCCCCAAACCCAAAACACGUAAGUUUAACAACUGUUUGUGUAAGAAUACAUUAUCCUAUAAGUAACGUGCACAAUCAUACCUGUAUUACGCAAAUUAUUUACGUAGAAUAUUGUCUGUGAUCAUUAAUGCAUGUCAUCAGGUUUUGAUCGGAUUCAAUAAACGAUUCGUGUCAUCGUGUGGGUCUAAAACAACAUUUGCCGCCUUCUGGCGGUAGUAGUAGUAAUAGUAGU